rnacentral:misc_RNA from 1 species
AAGCCUUUGAUAAUAGGUAGAAGUGGGAUUAAGGUUUAGUUGUUGUUUGUUUAUGUAGUUUGUUUAUUGAAUCUUAGCAUGGAAGAUCGUAUGUAUGUCUGCCUUUGGGCUUUAGAUAAUUAGAUCAAUGCGAUAAAGGGCUGAUGUGGGAGCAACCCUUAAGUUCAGAUCUACUGAUUAAAAAGAACAGAGAAAACUUCGCGAUUAAAAGUGCCUGCUUGAAAAUCCCACUUUUUGGUCUCCAAGUCUUAAUUUUUCUUUACCAUUGUUUGCAUCUAAUUUGUCAGUAUCAUUUAAUGAUACAGAUUAUUGUUUUCUAAUGUGUUAAAAUAUUUGAGUUUGUA